UGAAAAGCACUUUGGAAAGAGAGUUAAAGAGGCCGCGAAACCGUUGGGAGGGAAACGCAUGCAUCCGAACGGGCCCUCGUCGGGUUCAGGGGGCUGCGAAGGGUCGUGCGUGCGGACGGCACCCUAGCGGGUCGUCCGUUCGUCGAGGCUCCUCGUACCCCUGCACUCUCGGCGGUUGUGGCCGGCCAAGCACGGCGGGUUGCGCGCGGUCGACGAGCGCGAGUCGGGCAGGUAGCGCAGCUGCCUUCGGGCAGAGGCGAACUUACAGCCGACCGUGCGGAGCGACCGCCGCCCGCCGAGGAGAGCGGUGGCACUUCCACCCCCGUAGCGCAGGUCCGCUUCCGCGGGCCGGGGCGCUCCCGUCGGUUCGUCGGCCGGGUCGCGUCACUGCGUGCAGUGUCCGGCCUCGGUCGGUUCGUCCGGGCGGGAGGUCGUCCCACGCCUUGCGCUCUGGUCGCUU
rnacentral:rRNA from 1 species